AUAUAGCCCUGAUUGGAGCUUUGUUUGAGCUCAUUUUAGAAAGUUUUUGGUUGCGGCGGCAAAGCCGCCGCAACCAAAAACUUUCUAAAAUAGCGAGUGCGGAAAGCAGGAAAUUGC
rnacentral:misc_RNA from 1 species